rnacentral:lncRNA from 1 species
CUGAGCAUGGUGGGUGCCUCACAGAAGAAGUGGUCGAUCUUGUGGGAAGCACAGAAUGGGAGACUCAUGGUGAUGGGGGUGAGGAGGAAGCUGUCCAAAGCACCGCCGAACCAAGAGCUGGCCAAGAUCAUCCAACAGACUUGGUGACUCAUGAUGACAGGAUAGCGGAGGGGGUUGCAGAUGGCCACGUAGCGGUCAUAGGCCAUGAGUCCCAGCAGGAAGAAUUCAGCCCCCACAAAGCCCAUGUAGAGAAAGUACUGGGCUGUACAAGGAGAUAAAGGAGAUGGUCCUCUUGCCCAUGAGAUAAUCAACCAGUGUCUUGGGCACAAUGGUGGAAAUGUACAUCAUGUCAAUGAAGGAGAGGUGGCUGAGCAGGAAGUACAUAGGAGUGUGGAGAUACUUUUUGUUGACAUCCUCUGGCAUCAGAAGUGGAGUCCAAAACAAUCCCCAGACUUUUCCUUGCACUGUCUGCAACCAAUGCUUUGGUGCCUGCAAGAGCCCUUGAGCUCACUUGUUCCUUGAUGGAGUUGAGAUACGUUCAGUUACGUCAUCAUGAGUCUGGCAG